GAACGGUACCGAAUCCACAGGGACGGGAGACGGGAGAUGGUCAAAGAGAGAGCUUGGGAGAGUUAAUGGUGCGGGAAGAGGAGCUGACUCGUGCUUAGCAGUUCAAAAUAUAUGGAUUCUUUUGCUCGGAAUUACAGGACUCUGAUAAUCUCUUCAUGUUUCAAGGGGUUCCUCUGGAUUUCAUCAUGAAGCGUAAUAGCUUCUGCAUGGGCCACAGCUUCAUCAACUUCACUGCCAUCAUACCUGUAAGCACUUGUUACUGCAACCAAAAGCUGCAUCCAAACACGAGAAUUGCAGCACCGGGAGCGCUUGUAGCGAGAUCUGUAAGCUCGUUUCACUGCCAGGAGAUCAUCCGGUGAUGCAAUACAAGUAAUUUCGACGAUCACCUUAUAAUCAGGGACUGGUUUCUGUAAUGCCAGAUUGGCUAAUACUGCAUCUCGAUCAGCAGGAUCCAAGGUCCAGUGGCAUAUUGCUCUCUGUUUUUUUCCCUCAAUUGAAUAAAUAGCUGAUCAAGUUUAUUCCUUUUUUUUUUUCUUUUCCUUACAUGUAUUAUUAUUUCUUAUUUCAAAGAAAUAUCAAACCAAAUUUAACCUUAA